rnacentral:rRNA from 1 species
UGCCAGCCGCCGCGGUAAUACGGAGGGUGCAAGCGUUGUCCAGAUUUAUUGGGUUUAAAGGGUGCGUAGGCGGAUAAUUAAGUCAGUGGUGAAAUCCAACAGCUCAACUGUUGAACUGCCAUUGAUACUGGUUAUCUUGAGUACAGUUGAGGUAGGCGGAAUUUAUGGUGUAGCAGUGAAAUGCAUAGAUACCAUAAAGAACACCGAUAGCGAAGGCAGCUUACUGGACUGUAACUGACGCUGAGGCACGAAAGCGUGGGGAGCGAACAGGAUUAGAUA